rnacentral:lncRNA from 1 species
CCGCGCAGAGCCCGCGCCAGGGCCGCCGGCCGCAGAGCAGCGACAUCCUCACUGACCGAGCAAAGAUUGACAUUCGUAUCAUCACUGUGCACCAUUGGCUUCUAGGCACUCCAGUGGGGUAGGAGAAGGAGGUCUGAAACCCUCGCAGAGGGAUCUUGCCCUCAUUCUUUGGGUCUGAAACACUGGCAGUCGUUGGAAACAGGACUCAGGAUAAACCAGCGCAAUGGAUUGGGGGACGCUGCACACUUUCAUCGGGGGUGUCAACAAACACUCCACCAGCAUCGGGAAGGUGUGGAUCACAGUCAUCUUUAUUUUCCGAGUCAUGAUCCUCGUGGUGGCU